ACCUGCCUUAUACUGGGGGAUAACAUUCUGAAAAGGAUGCUAAUACCGCAUAAGCGCACAGCAUCGCAUGAUGCCGUGUGAAAAACUCCGGUGGUAUAAGAUGGACCCGCGUCUGAUUAGCUAGUUGGUGAGAUAAUAGCUCACCAAGGCAACGAUCAGUAGCCGACCUGAGAGGGUGAUCGGCCACAUUGGGACUGAGACACGGCCCAAACUCCUACGGGAGGCAGCAGUGGGGAAUAUUGCACAAUGGGGGAAACCCUGAUGCAGCGACGCCGCGUGAAGGAUGAAGGUUUUCGGAUCGUAAACUUCUAUCAGCAGGGAAGAAAAUGACUGUACCUGACUAAGAAGCCCCGGCUAACUACGUGCCAGCAGCCGCGGUAAUACGUAGGGGGCAAGCGUUAUCCGGAAUUACUGGGUGUAAAGGGUGCGUAGGCGGUAAAGUAAGUUAGGUGUGAAAGCCCGGGGCUCAACCUCGGGACUGCACUUAAAACUGCUUUACUAGAAUACAGGAGAGGUAAGUGGAAUUCCUAGUGUAGCGGUGAAAUGCGUAGAUAUUAGGAGGAACACCAGUGGCGAAGGCGACUUACUGGACUGUGAUUGACGCUGAGGCACGAAAGCGUGGGGAGCGAACAGGAUUAGAUACCCUGGUAGUCCACGCCGUAAACGAU
rnacentral:rRNA from 1 species